rnacentral:rRNA from 1 species
UGGAGGCAGCAGUGGGGAAUCUUGCGCAAUGGGCGAAAGCCUGACGCAGCAACGCCGCGUGUGUGAUGAAGGUCUUCGGAUCGUAAAGCACUGUCGGGAGGGACGAAUAAGGUGGCGGCUAAUAUCCGCCGCUGAUGACGGUACCUCCAAAGGAAGCACCGGCUAACUCUGUGCCAGCAGCCGCGGUAAUACAGAGGGUGCUAGCGUUGUUCGGAAUUAUUGGGCGUAAAGCGCGUGUAGGCGGCCAGGCAAGUUGGGUGUGAAAGCCCUCGGCUUAACCGAGGAAGUGCGCCCAAAACUACUUGGCUUGAGUACCGGAGAGGGUGGCGGAAUUCCCGGUGUAGAGGUGAAAUUCGUAGAUAUCGGGAGGAACACCAGUGGCGAAGGCGGCCACCUGGACGGAUACUGACGCUGAGACGCGAAAGCGUGGGUAGCAAACAGGAUUAGAUACCCCGGUAGU